rnacentral:rRNA from 1 species
CUAUACAUGCAGUCGAGCGCGGGAAGCGAACGGAACUCUUCGGAGGGAAGUUCGUGGAACGAGCGGCGGACGGGUGAGUAACACGUAGGCAACCUGCCUGUAAGACUGGGAUAACUCGCGGAAACGCGAGCUAAUACCGGAUAACACUUUCUAUCACCUGAUGGAAAGUUGAAAGGCGGCUUUUGCUGUCACUUACAGAUGGGCCUGCGGCGCAUUAGCUAGUUGGUGAGGUAACGGCUCACCAAGGCGACGAUGCGUAGCCGACCUGAGAGGGUGAUCGGCCACACUGGGACUGAGACACGGCCCAGACUCCUACGGGAGGCAGCAGUAGGGAAUCUUCCGCAAUGGACGAAAGUCUGACGGAGCAACGCCGCGUGAGUGAUGAAGGUUUUCGGAUCGUAAAACUCUGUUGUCGGGGAAGAACAAGUAUGAUAGUAACUGAUCGUACCUUGACGGUACCCGACCAGAAAGCCACGGCUAACUACGUGCCAGCAGCCGCGGUAAUACGUAGGUGGCAAGCGUUGUCCGGAAUUAUUGGGCGUAAAGCGCUCGCAGGCGGUUCUUUAAGUCUGAUGUGAAAUCUUGCGGCUCAACCGCAAACGUGCAUUGGAAACUGGAGGACUUGAGUGCAGAAGAGGAGAGUGGAAUUCCACGUGUAGCGGUGAAAUGCGUAGAGAUGUGGAGGAACACCAGUGGCGAAGGCGACUCUCUGGUCUGUAACUGACGCUGAGGAGCGAAAGCGUGGGGAGCGAACAGGAUUAGAUACCCUGGUAGUCCACGCCGUAAACGAUGAGUGCUAGGUGUUAGGGGGUUUCCGCCCCUUAGUGCUGAAGUUAACGCAUUAAGCACUCCGCCUGGGGAGUACGGCCGCAAGGCUGAAACUCAAUGAUAUGUAG